AGGGGUUUGAUCAUGGCUCAGAAUCAACGCUGGCGGCGUGCCUAACACAUGCAAGUCGAGCGCGAACGGGAGCUUCGGUUCCCUAGUAGAGCGGCGGACGGGUGAGUAACACGUGGGUAACCUACCCUCAGGUGGGGUAUAACCCAGGGAAACCUGGGCUAAUUCCGCAUAAUAUUUCGAGUCUCUUGGGACGCGAAAUCAAAGCUGGGGAUCCUUCGGGACCUAGCGCCAGGGGAGGGGCCCGCGCCCGAUUAGCUAGUUGGUGAGGUAAUGGCUCACCAAGGCUUCGAUCGGUAGCCGGCCUGAGAGGGCGGACGGCCACACUGGGACUGAGACACGGCCCAGACUCCUACGGGAGGCAGCAGUGGGGAAUUUUUGUCAAUGGGGGAAACCCUGAACAAGCAACGCCGCGUGGAGGACGAAGACCUUCGGGUCGUAAACUCCUGUCGGAGGGGACGAACGCGGUCGAAGCCAAUACCUUCGAUCGUUGACGGUACCUUACGAGGAAGCCCCGGCUAACUCCGUGCCAGCAGCCGCGGUAAUACGGGGGGGGCAAGCGUUGUUCGGAAUUACUGGGCGUAAAGGGCGCGUAGGCGGUCCGGCAAGUCUCUCGUGAAAUCCCACGGCUCAACUGUGGAACUGCGGGGGAAACUUCCNGGACUUGAGUCCGGGAGAGGGGAGUGGAAUUCCCAGUGUAGCGGUGAAAUGCGUAGAUUUGGGAGGAACACCGGUGGCGAAGCGGCUCC
rnacentral:rRNA from 1 species